AUUGAACGCUGGCGGCAGGCCUAACACAUGCAAGUCGAACGAGUGGCGGACGGGUGAGUAAUGUCUGGGAAACUGCCUGAUGGAGGGGGAUAAAUACUGGAAACGGUAGCUAAUACCGCAUACCAUCGGAUGUGCCCAGAUGGGAUUAGCUAGUAGGUGGGGUAACGGCUCACCUAGGCGACGAUCCCUAGCUGGUCUGAGAGGAUGACGAGCCACACUGAAACUGAGACACGGUCCAGACUCCUACGGGGGGCAGCAGUGGGGAGUAUUGCACAAUGGGCGCAAGCCUGAUGCAGCCAUGCCGCGUGUAUGAAGAAGGCCUUCGGGUUGUAAAGUACUUUCAGCGGGGAGGCGUUACCCGCAGAAGAAGCACCGGCUAACUCCGUGCCAGCAGCCGCGGUAAUUC
rnacentral:rRNA from 1 species